ensembl:rRNA 5S_rRNA 5S ribosomal RNA
GUCCACGGCCAUACUGCCCUGAACAUGCCCGAUCUCGUCUGACCUUGGAAGCUGAGCAGGUUCGGGCCUGGUUAGUCCUGGGAUGCAGGAACAUCCCACCUCUAGGAUAAAAGCGUCUGACAGCACAGUGGUCU